GAAUAGCAAUACUUAGUGGCAGACGGGUGAGUAACACGUGGGUAUCUACCCUUUGGCCUGGAAUAACACGAGGAAACUUGUGCUAAUACCGGAUAAGUCUUUACGGAGAAAGCUUUAUGCACCAUUGGAUGAGCCCGCACUUGAUUAGUUUGUUGGUAGGGUAAUGGCCUACCAAGACUAUGAUCAAUAGCUGAUUUGAGAGGAUGAUCAGCCACAUUGGGGACUGAGACACGGCCCAAACUCCUACGGGAGGCAGCAGUGGGGAAUCUUGCACAAUGGAGGAAACUCUGAUGCAGCGAUGCCGCGUGAGUGAAGAAGGCCUUUGGGUUGUAAAGCUCUUUCGUCGGGGAAGAAAAUGACUGUACCCGAAUAAGAAGGUCCGGCUAACUUCGUGCCAGCAGCCGCGGUAAUACGAAGGGACCUAGCGUAGUCCGGAAUUACUGGGCUUAAAGAGUUCGUAGGUGGUUGAAAAAGUUGGUGGUGAAAUCCCAGAGCUUAACUCUGGAACUGCCAUCAAAACUUUUCAGCUAGAGUAUGAUAGAGGAAAGCAGAAUUUCUAGUGUAGAGGUGAAAUUCGUAGAUAUUAGAAAGAAUACCAAUUGCGAAGGCAGCUUUCUGGAUCAUUACUGACACUGAGGAACGAAAGCAUGGGUAGCGAAGAGGAUUAGAUACCCUCGUAGUCCAUGCCGUAAACGAUGUGUGUUAGACGUUGGAAAUUAUUUUCGGUGUCGCAGGGAAACCGAUAAACACCCG
rnacentral:rRNA from 1 species